GUCUGAUUAGCUAGUUGGUGAGGUAAUGGCUCACCAAGGCGACGAUCAGUAGCUGGUCUGAGAGGUUGAUCAGCCUCACUGGGACUGAGACACGGCCCAGACUCCUACGGGAGGCAGCAGUGGGGAAUAUUGGACAAUGGGCGCAAGCCUGAUCCAGCCAUGCCGCGUGGGUGAUGAAGGCCUUAGGGUUGUAAAGCCCUUUCGAUCGGGGAAGAUAAUGACGGUACCCGCAGAAGAAGCCCCGGCUAACUUCGUGCCAGCAGCCGCGGUAAUACGAAGGGGGCUAGCGUUGCUCGGAAUCACUGGGCGUAAAGCGCACGUAGGCGGCUUUUUAAGUCAGGGGUGAAACCCUGGAGCUCAACUCCAGAACUGCCCUUGAUACUGAGAAGCUUGAGUCCGGGAGAGGUGAGUGGAACUGCGAGUGUAGAGGUGAAAUUCGUAGAUAUUCGCAAGAACACCAGUGGCGAAGGCGGCUCACUGGCCCGGUACUGACGCUGAGGUGCGAAAGCGUGGGGAGCA
rnacentral:rRNA from 1 species